UCCCUCAUGGUCUGGUGGUUAACACUCUGCCCUUCCAAUGCAGGGGGCUCAGGUUCAAACCCUGGUCAGGGAA
rnacentral:tRNA from 1 species